UCUGCCUUACAAGCAGAGGGUCGGGGGUUCGAAUCCCUCAGCUCCCACAA
rnacentral:tRNA from 1 species